GGAGCUGGAGCUGGAGCUGCGAAUUCGGAGUCCCGGUUCCCUGUGCCACCUGGCGAGCUCAGCAAACUAAAAGUCUCUUUGUCUUCAUCGUUUCCGGCACUGAUGUGAGCACAUCAUAAGCACAAGACCUGGACACCUUUACAAUCAGAGGUAGCAUCUGUCUGGAACUGUAUCUUGACUCUCACUGGUGCUUUUCCUUUGGUUGAUGCAAAGCUUUUGAAUCCUUUAGGGAGAUGUCAUUGGCCUAGGACUGGAGCUCUGGAUCUGACCGGAGCAAAGAGGAAGCACGCAAAUCCGGACAUGACGACGAGGAGGCAGUAGAGACCCAUCCUCAACUGUAAGUAACUGCCUUCGGCAGGGAAGGGGCUAACCCACGUUGUGUGGGCUCAGGCACGGCCGCGUCUGGUUCUGUGCAGGAACACAGGCAGAGGCAAGCCCUGGGUCCGCAUCAUGGCUCUGCCCUCACUCAGAUUGCCUUGUACAUGUAGGUUCUUGUCCUAGAGCCUCUUU
rnacentral:lncRNA from 1 species